rnacentral:tRNA from 1 species
ACACUAGUGGCGCAGUGGUUAAGAGUUUGGCUGCUAACCAAAAGGUCGGUAGUUCGAAUCCACCCUGCCGCU